GCGGAAUAUCUCAGUUGGUUAGGACGUGGUACUGUUAACGCCAAGUUUGCAGGUUCGAUCCCUGUAGGGACAGCUGCA